rnacentral:rRNA from 1 species
AAACGACUCUCGACAACGGAUAUCCCGGCUCUCGCAUCGAUGAAGAACGUAGCGAAAUGCGAUACUUGGUGUGAAUUGCAGAAUCCCGUGAACCAUCGAGUCUUUGAACGCAAGUUGCGCCCGAGGCCACUAGGCUAAGGGCACGUCUGCCUGGGUGUCAC